rnacentral:rRNA from 1 species
GACGUAGGGCGCGAGCGUUGUCCGGAUUUAUUGGGCGUAAAGAGCUCGUAGGCGGUCUGUCGCGUCGGCUGUGAAAACCCGGGGCUCAACCCCGGGCCUGCAGUCGAUACGGGCAGACUAGAGUGCGGUAGGGGAGACUGGAAUUCCUGGUGUAGCGGUGAAAUGCGCAGAUAUCAGGAGGAACACCCGUGGCGAAGGCG